rnacentral:RNase_P_RNA from 2 species
CCAGACGGCCGGAUGGCCGCCUUCACUUUCGGGGCUCGCCCCGGGGCGGGGGAGGAAAGUCCGGGCUCCACGGGAAGACGGUGCCGGGUAACGCCCGGCGGGGGCGACCCCAGGGAAAGUGCCACAGAAAGCAAACCGCCCGGCGGCCCCUCACGGGGACCCACCGCCGGGUAAGGGUGAAAGGGUGCGGUAAGAGCGCACCGCGGGCCCGGUAACGGGACCGGCACGGCAAACCCCACCGGGAGCAAGACCGAGUAGGGACGACAGGCCGCAAGGCCGGGCGGUUUCCGCGCCGUCGUCCGGGUAGGUCGCGCGAGGCGCCCGGCGACGGGCGUCCCAGAUGAAUGGCCAUCCAGGGGCCGCGGCCGCGAGGCCCGGCCCUGGACAGAACCCGGCUUACAGGCCGUCUGGCGUU